rnacentral:rRNA from 1 species
UACGUAGGGUGCGAGCGUUAAUCGGAAUUACUGGGCGUAAAGCGUGCGCAGGCGGUUUUGUAAGCCAGAUGUGAAAUCCCCGGGCUUAACCUGGGAAUGGCAUUUGGGACUGCAAGGCUCGAGUGCGGCAGAGGAGACUGGAAUUCCUGGUGUAGCAGUGAAAUGCGUAGAUAUCAGGAGGAACACCGAUGGCGAAGGCAGUUCUCUGGGCCGUAACUGACGCUGAGGAGCGAAAGCGUGGGGAGCGAACAGG